GGGCGGCAUUCUGGCAGCAACUCUUCUGACUCAGGUCUCGCCAUCGGCGGUAAUUCGGCAGCAACUCCCUCCGACGUUCCUGUUCUCUCUGGCUUCGUCUUAUUCGGCAGGAUUUUUUUUUUUUCCUGCUUGGGGCGGCAAAAAACAGAGCCAGCCCUGGAAGCAGGCUGUAAGAGACACCCAGUUUGGGAAUAUUUUAUUGAAGUUCCUCUACUGUGGGUAAGACAGGCAUGCGUGCAAAAUGCAAACAGUGCAACAAAGAAAUGCAAGGCCUGAUUAUCCAAAUGAAACAGUGCCCAAAGGAACAAGUGUUCCUUCUCAGGAGGAAGCUGCGUUGAAGAUGAUGAAAGGAACAUGUAGGAUCUUCAGAAGAAUCCAUCCUCAACAUACAGGAUUCUGAAGACUAUCCACCUUCAAGAUCACCAUCAUUUUCUAUAGUUUCAGAGUUAUCUACCAAUGAUAGUGUUUCGGUCACAUCAAGAUUGUCACAUAGCCACAAUAUAUCACUGUAGCAAAAAGGAAAAAAAAAAUUUCCAUCAUCUAGAAAUAACCAUAGAUAAAUUUGUGA